rnacentral:tRNA from 1 species
CAGUGGUUAGUUUAAUUAAAAUAUUAAUUUUGGAGAUUAAUGAUGAGAUUGCUUCUUACCGCUGA